AGCAAGGUGGAGCAGUGGAAGCUUGCCGGGUUCAUGCCCCGGAGGUCGCGGGUUCAAAUCCCGCCCUUGCAA
rnacentral:tRNA from 1 species